CGGAAUUCGGGAUAUUCAAAGUCAGAUUCGCCUUGGGUGUUGAAUUCUAGGAAGGUAUAGGCGUCAGUCCCCGUGUCGGGCUGCGACGCCGUUUCAUAGAGGUUGCUCUGCUCCGAAUCCAUGAUUUUUAGGGCAAACAGGUUUCGUGGAGUUAAUUUGCCGUCGAAUUGCAGAUUAUGGAAUAGGUUUGCAGGUGUUUCGAGAUUGGAAGAGAAGAACCAAAAAACAGAAGGUUAGGGUUAGGGUUAGGGUUUGGCGAGCGAAACGAAGGAAGUAGAGGGAGAGUAAUUGGUGCGAGAAUGUAAG
rnacentral:misc_RNA from 1 species